rnacentral:rRNA from 1 species
UACGGAGGGUGCAAGCGUUAUCCGGAUUCACUGGGCUUAAAGGGUGCGUAGGUGGGCUAGUAAGUCAGUGGUGAAAUCUCCGGGCUUAACCCGGAAACUGCCAUUGAUACUAUUUGUCUUGAAUACUGUGGAGGUCAGCGGAAUAUGUCAUGUAGCGGUGAAAUGCUUAGAUAUGACAUAGAACACCAAUUGCGAAGGCAGCUGGCUGCACAAAUAUUGACACUGAGGCACGAAAGCGUGGGGAGCAAACAGG